UACGUAGGGGGCAAGCGUUGUCCGGAUUUACUGGGCGUAAAGAGCGUGUAGGCGGCCAGAUAGGUCAGCUGUGAAAACUCGAGGCUCAACCUCGAGAUGUCGGCUGAAACCAUCUGGCUAGAGUCCGGAAGAGGAGAAUGGAAUUCCCGGUGUAGCGGUGAAAUGCGCAGAUAUCGGGAAGAACACCCGUGGCGAAGGCGGUUCUCUGGGACGGUACUGACGCUGAGACGCGAAAGCGUGGGGAGCGAACAGG
rnacentral:rRNA from 1 species